rnacentral:rRNA from 1 species
GAUGAACGCUGGCGGCGUGCCUAAUACAUGCAAGUCGAGCGAACAGACGAGGAGCUUGCUCCUCUGACGUUAGCGGCGGACGGGUGAGUAACACGUGGAUAACCUACCUAUAAGACUGGGAUAACUUCGGGAAACCGGAGCUAAUACCGGAUAAUAUAUUGAACCGCAUGGUUCAAUAGUGAAAGACGGUUUUGCUGUCACUUAUAGAUGGAUCCGCGCCGCAUUAGCUAGUUGGUAAGGUAACGGCUUACCAAGGCAACGAUGCGUAGCCGACCUGAGAGGGUGAUCGGCCACACUGGAACUGAGACACGGUCCAGACUCCUACGGGAGGCAGCAGUAGGGAAUCUUGCGCAAUGGGCGAAAGCUUGACGGAGCAACGCCGCGUGGGUGAUGAAGGUCUUCGGAUCGUAAAACUCUGUUAUUAGGGAAGAACAAAUGUGUAAGUAACUAUGCACGUCUUGACGGUACCUAAUCAGAAAGCCACGGCUAACUACGUG